rnacentral:lncRNA from 12 species
GGGGGGGGGGGGGGGGGGGGGGGGGGGGGGGGGGGGGCCCCCCAGAUUCCCCCUCACGAGGGCCUGGAGGGGUCAGCAGUGGCGUGCAGGGAUUUUGGGAUCGGGUAAUAGUAGGGUUGAGGUUCUGGGGUGCCUCCUGCACCCUCCAAACGCCGAGGCCCUCCCCCGAUAUUCUGGGGGUGCUUUUCCUGCCCCCCUCCCUCCCGCCGCCAAGGAUUAAAAAUGGUUGGAAUUACACAACAAGGUCGAGGAUCGUGAGGUUCUGGGAUUGUGCGAUUGGGGUUUUGGGGUGCUCCUUGUGCGUGUCACGCCUCCAGAGCCCCCCAGAGGGUUUGGGGGUGCCGGGGUAGGAGUAGGGGGUCCCCGUCUCCCUCCCCCACCCCAGGCACUGGUUCCCGGAGGAUGGGAAAAGCUCCGCAUGGCCAUACUGGGAUCACUGGGGGGACCCCAAAACCUCACGGGGGGACAGUGUCGUCACUCCCCAGCUGGUGGCCCCAAAUCCGCAUGGUGGGACGAGGCUGCCUGGGGGCCUUUUAUUGAUAGCAUCAGCAGAUCCGAGUGCCCGAGUCCCAGGAUUUCCGUCCUGGGGUCCCCAUCCCCGUCAUGGAGUCCCUGUCGCCGCCCUGGGGUCCCCAUCCCAGUGUCCCAACAUCCCCAUCCAUGUGUCUCCCUGCCAAUCCCAGUGUCCCCACAGGGUCAUCCUGGCGUCCCUGUUCCCAUCCUGGUGUCUCCAUCCUCAUCCUGACCCCUCAUGGUGUCUCCAUCUUGGUGUCCUUAUCCCCAUCCCAAUUUCUCCAUCCCCACUGAGAGUGCCCACAGACCCAGGUGUUGCUGUCCCAUUCUGGUGUCCUCCAUCCUGGUUUCCAUGUCCCCAUCCAGUUGGCCCUUUUUCUCCUCACAUUUUCCAGUUUUCAUCUCUAUCCUUUCUUGCUCUUUUUAUAUCCUUUUUCCACAAUUUCCCCCCCUCACCUUUCCCAUCCUUUUCCCCCUCACAUUUCCAGCCUUUUUCUCUCACCUUUCCCACCCUGUUCUUCUCUCUCUCCCUUUCUCCGUCUUCUCUCUCUUUCUCCACCCUUUUUCUCUUGCCCUUCCCUCUCAUAUUUCCUGUUCUUUCUUUUUUCUCUCUUUUUGCACCUUUUUUUCCUUCACCUAUUCCACCUUUUUCCCCUCACGUUUCCCGUCUUUUUUCCCCUCACAUUUCUGGCCCUUUUUUCCUCCUCACGUUUCCAUCCCUUUUUCCCCCCUCACGUUUCCCGCCCUUUUUCCCCUCACAUUUCCGGCCCUUUUUCCCCCUCACAUUUCUGGCCCUUUUCCCCCUCACGUUUCCACCCUUUUUUUCUCUCACCUUUUCCCACCCUUUUCCUUUCACCUUUUCCCCUCGUUCCUCCCCAAGCUCUCGCGUGUGGAGGCACCAGAGGCGGCCAUGGACUGGUUCCACUGCUGGCGCUGCUUUCGCCAAGAGGGUGCCCGCUUCGCCAUCACCACCUGUGGCCACAUCCUGUGCGAGGACUGCGGGGCCACUGGUCCCUGCCCGGUCUGUGCCACCGCCUGCCACUACCUGCCUCUGUCGCAGCAGAUGCGCCCAGAGGUGAAGGUUUUCUUCAAGAACCCGGCGGACCUCGCCCUCAAGCACCUCAGCCACAUCACAAAGGUGUGCCAGUUCCAGCUGGCGCAGGCGCAGCUGAAGGCGGACGCGCACCGGGACAGAACUCGACAGUUGCAGGCGGACCUGGAGAGGGUCAUAAAGGAGAUGGGGGAGAUGAGGAGGCAGGUGGAGUCAUUUCGCCGGGAGAAUGCGGAGCUGCGCCGCAUGCAGCUCUCCUCGGGCUGGCAAUGGAGCAGCUGCAGCAGCACCCCCUAUCCCUCCCCCACACAGUCAGUCAUCACCCAGCCCCGCCGGCAGCUGAGCAGCCAAGUGGUCAGCCGCUUGUCCUCACUGGAGCCCCCCCGGUCCCACAGUACCCCAGGAUGGCAGGCUGGCGUAGCCUACAGAGAUUCAGGGACCCCUCUGGCCUCUAGCAUGGUGCCCUCCCUGGCCUUGGCAAGCGAGGGGCAGGGCUCUGCCCGGCGGCCGGCGAGGGACGGGCGCUCCCGGUGGGAUCCCAAUCCACGCCCAUGA